CUCAGAUUGAACGCUGGCGGCAGGCUUAACACAUGCAAGUCGAGCGGGGAAGGUUGNUUCGGUAACUGACCUAGCGGCGGACGGGUGAGUAAUGCUUAGGAAUCUGCCUAUUAGUGGGGGACAACAUUCCGAAAGGAAUGCUAAUACCGCAUACGCCCUACGGGGGAAAGCAGGGGAUCUUCGGACCUUGCGCUAAUAGAUGAGCCUAAGUCGGAUUAGCUAGUUGGUGGGGUAAAGGCCUACCAAGGCGACGAUCUGUAGCGGGUCUGAGAGGAUGAUCCGCCACACUGGGACUGAGACACGGCCCAGACUCCUACGGGAGGCAGCAGUGGGGAAUAUUGGACAAUGGGCGGAAGCCUGAUCCAGCCAUGCCGCGUGUGUGAAGAAGGCCUUUUGGUUGUAAAGCACUUUAAGCGAGGAGGAGGCUCCUUUAGUUAAUACCUAAAGAGAGUGGACGUUACUCGCAGAAUAAGCACCGGCUAACUCUGUGCCAGCAGCCGCGGUAAUACAGAGGGUGCGAGCGUUAAUCGGAUUUACUGGGCGUAAAGCGUGCGUAGGCGGCUUUUUAAGUCGGAUGUGAAAUCCCUGAGCUUAACUUAGGAAUUGCAUUCGAUACUGGAAAGCUAGAGUAUGGGAGAGGAUGGUAGAAUUCCAGGUGUAGCGGUGAAAUGCGUAGAGAUCUGGAGGAAUACCGAUGGCGAAGGCAGCCAUCGGCCUAAUACNGACGNNAGGUACGAAAG
rnacentral:rRNA from 1 species